AGACUACGAUGUGGACACUUCCUCUGCAAUUCUUUAAACCUUUCCCAUGCUUCAUACAAAGAUUCACCAUCAAACUGAGCAAGACUGCUAAUAUCAUUUCUAAGUUU